rnacentral:tRNA from 4 species
UUGAUCGUGGCAGGGUUCGAACCUGCGACAUUUUGCGCGUUCAAUAAUUUGUAAAGCAAACGUGAUAACCACUACACUACACGACCA